AACAUCUCGUUCGCUUUCCUACCACAAAUUGGGUUGUGCCAAAACCUUCCUAGUUUCCCCUGAAUUAAGAGGCACGUCCUGGGAAUCCAAAGCAUCCACAUGCUGCUAUUUCUGAAACAAGAAUUUCAGAAACAGGUGCACCAUCAUGGAUUAAGGAUAUACCUCAUUCCUGUGGGACACGACUAGGAGGGAAAUGCAGAAGCUGGCUCCCUCCUCUCCAGUUCUAUAGAAGACAGAAUAUGAGCAAACAUGCGGAAUUGCUCAGAUCCCCACAAGACCCAGAUAUGUAAACUGAGUUUCGCAGGAUGUCAUGCCUUGUCUCUAUAAUGCUCUUGUCCCUAUUUCUCUUGCUCUGCUUUACCGAUCACUCUAUUUUCCUCUCUGUUAGUAUUCAACUAACCAAUUGAGUCUACUAGAAACGUAAACAUUAAAGGUUGUCUGAGAGCAUAUAUCAUUUGUUUUCAAUGUCUCUUUCUUUUCAUUUCUACUUUCUAGGAAAGGCCAUUAAAAAAAUCGUACAUGGAACUUUUCCUCUUAUCCUGUAUCUUCCUGUCUCUACCUGAUUCUACAUAUUGGAGAAGCCUACAUUUCAUUUUUUAAGAAACAACAUUUUUCU